rnacentral:rRNA from 1 species
GAGUUUGAUCCUGGCUCAGAUUGAACGCUGGCGGCAGGCCUAACACAUGCAAGUCGAGCGGAUGAAGGGAGCUUGCUCCUGGGUUCAGCGGCGGACGGGUGAGUAAUGCCUAGGAAUCUGCCUGGGUAGUGGGGGAUAACGUCCGGAAACGGGCGCUAAUACCGCAUACGUCCUGAGGGAGAAAGUGGGGGAUCUUCGGACCUCACGCUAUCAGACGAGCCUAGGUCGGAUUAGCUAGUUGGUGGGGUAAAGGCCUACCAAGGCGACGAUCCGUAACUGGUCUGAGAGGAUGAUCAGUCACACUGGAACUGAGACACGGUCCAGACUCCUACGGGAGGCAGCAGUGGGGAAUAUUGGACAAUGGGCGAAAGCCUGAUCCAGCCAUGCCGCGUGUGUGAAGAAGGUCUUCGGAUUGUAAAGCACUUUAAGUUGGGUAGGAAGGGCGAGUAAGUUAAUACCUUGCUGUUUUGACGUUACCUAACAGAAUAAGCACCGGCUAACUUCGUGCCAGCCGCCGCCGU